AGUGAAUAGACAAACGUGUCACAGUGACAUAUUAUCUACUUUUAACAUUGUCCCUAGGGUCUAACUUAAAAAAUACCGAUAAUUACAAUGUCAUUAUUUGCAGCUUUGCCUCGUUCAGUGUGGAUCAUUUCCAUUGAAAACCAAAUAAAUCCAUUGCUCUCUUGUCACCCGUGAGACUGGGAACAUUGUUCUGUUGGUCUGUGCAGCCAACAACAAAACAGUUUGUACACUGUAAAAAAUUAAACUCACAAAAAGUUAGACUAAUGAUUAUCUUUUAGUUAACUGGACAAAUAAAUGCAAAAAAGUUGGCUUAACCAGUGAAAAGAAGUUGGUUCAACAACCGUUGGACUAACCUAUUAUUACUUGUAAAUUCGAUUAAUAAAUGCAAGUUAACAACCAAAGAAGUUGGGUUGGAGGUUGGAGCAUGCGCAUUGUAACGAUCACGAGGUUGGCGCAUGUGCAAUGAAGCGCGCGCCAACGGACAGAUUCAGACUGCUGGACGGAGACAUUUUAGCAUCUUCGUGCGAGACUAAUGGAUCUACUCACAGCCAACGUAUUUCUACUCAAAGCCAUCGUUUUAGGUAAGUAAUAAGUAGGCUAUAUGCAUUGAAGUAUUUUGUAAAAGUAGCAUGUAUCUGCUUGAUCGCAGAGCCGUGGUUACGGCUAGUUAUGCACUGUAUAAUUUUUUUUUGCCACGAGGAUGCUUAACUUUUAACUAGUCUCCCAACUUCAGCAAAUAGCAUGUAAAAAAUUUAGAAUAGAACCUGAGGCAAUCGUGGUAAGUUAAGUUAAGAACAAGUUUGUUUAUUUCAAAGUAACUUUGACGUUAUUGCACUGACACAUUUACUAUUUAAUUUGGCAAUUUUUGCAGUACACAAAUAUAAAGAAAUAUUUUAAAGUCGACUCUUUAUCUUAAAUUUAAAUUCACACACGCUACAGUGGCCUAAUAUUAGAAUUUUUACGUUUCAGACUGAGAUCAGAGGCAAUAAACAUCUGCAAAAAAAAUUCCUGUGUCCUUCGAAGCCUGGUUAGGCUCUCACGUGUUUUGCAGACUACUUCGACGGUGUCGACAAGACUGCAAUCGUCUCAUUUAAAUUAUGUAAUGAGUUCAAACGCAUCACUAGUGUGGACCUCCUCGAGACAUUCAGAGCAUCAAUACACCAGCACACUCCGCAACUCCUCAAGCUAUACAGAGCAAGAAAGGGGGCAUUUGGAACAGAAAUGGAAGAUCUUCUCAACAAGCUUGAUCAGCAGACCACAAAUAUUGUGACUCACAGAAAGCAAACCGUCCUGGAAGGUCUCCCCAUGUUUCUACGAGAAGAUUCCUCUGUACUUUUUAAAACAUGGACAAGACUCCAGAGGACAGACAGACCAGAGGGAUGAAGGUGGGAAUCCUUAUUGUAAUUGAAGAUGAUGCCCCCCCCAGCACACUGCCCAGUGUCACAAAAUUUGCUGUUGUGUUGGAGGAGGUAUUGUACUGAGAGAUGCUCCAGACUUGCAGUCUGCACUUGCAUACCUGUUUGGCCCUCUGUUUGCCUUGGACUUUGAGUACCCAAAGCAACGGAAAUACACUUUUGAGGUUAUUGAGAAAGUGUUUAUGGAGAUGGGCACUCAUUGCUCUGCUAGGGUACAGACCCUCAAAACUAAGCUAUUACUGUGAGAUGCAUUUGUGAGAUGUUUGUAUCUUACAUUUAAGAUGCAAGUAGAUAGUUUUUUUUUUUUUGCAAUUUGCUUGCAUUUUGUUUGACUCAUUUUUGUUUAAACUGUUAACUUGAGGUUGUGAUAAACAUUGGUGCCACUGUUUCAGCACUUACAGCACAAACGUUAACUUGCACUUAUGGUAUAAAGCUGCUCAGUUGUAACAUAUUCAGUGUUUACAAUUUAAAAUGUAAAACAUUUAAAAGAUAGAACAUUUAAAGUAUUUAUGACCAG